rnacentral:rRNA from 1 species
GAUGAACGCUGGCGGCGUGCUUAACACAUGCAAGUCGAACGAUGAAGCUCAGCUUGCUGGGUGGAUUAGUGGCGAACGGGUGAGUAACACGUGAGUAACCUGCCCUUAACUCUGGGAUAAGCCUGGGAAACUAGGUCUAAUACCGGAUAGGAGCGCCUACCGCAUGGUGGGUGUUGGAAAAAUUUAUCGGUUUUGGAUGGACUCGCGGCCUAUCAGCUUGUUGGUGAGGUAAUGGCUCACCAAGGCGACGACGGGUAGCCGGCCUGAGAGGGUGACCGGCCACACUGGGACUGAGACACGGCCCAGACUCCUACGGGAGGCAGCAGUGGGGAAUAUUGCAAAAUGGGCGAAAGCCUGAUGCAGCAACGCCGCGUGAGGGAUGACGGCCUUCGGGUUGUAAACCUCUUUCAGUAGGGAAGAAGCGAAAGUGACGGUACCUGCAGAAGAAGCACCGGCUAACUACGUG